UAUGGGUGUUGAUUGUGGAUCCAAGUUAAGUGAAAUCUUUAACAAGGUCCAUAUUUCUCUGUUUGUCAUGAUGUUGCUUAUUGAUCCAGUUGUGCGGAUUUUGGCCCUUCCUAAUUUGCUAAUCUGAACAUAUGAUAGAAAAAGCAAGGUUACAUGUCUCUGCUAAGUGUAAUUGGGGCUUAAGUUAUAUUUGUCUUUAAUGCAAUCAAUUUUCUAAAUUGUCCCUAAACCUUAAUUGCUCUUAGUUGGCCCCACAACUUGACAACCUUUUCCUCAAGAGUCUCUAAAUUCACCAGAGAAAGCCAAACAGCUGUCCCUUAAGUUGGCUGUCUCCAGAGGCCCUGAGCUUCGAAAUGUGGAAUACCAGACUCUGAAACUGGCAUCACGAUCUUUGUGUGAGGCCAGACCAUGGCAAAGCAGGUUUGGAUCCAUUCUACAGCUGCAGGGAUGGAUGUGCAGACUGCUUGUCUUGCAUGUACUAUCUGUAGACAUCACCUUCCAUGCUGAAUCGUGUCUCUGGUCAUUGUCACAGACUCCACCAACGGAUGAUGUGGGCAUCCAGGAGAGCGCCAGGAAGAAGAGGAAAGUCAGUGAGCCGGUGAAACUCAUCUUCCCCAACAGAAAUGAAAGAUGUCUUCAUGCCACUCCCUGUUUGACAGAUACUUAGAGAAAGGAUGCAGACUACAUACAAUACAGGACAUUUCUUAAGGCCGAUACUGGAUGCUUCCCAACAAACACUUCAGUUAUCAGUCUCCUCCUGAUCCCAGAAUUUUGGGAGGCUUAAUGAUUAGUAUUAGAUAAAUAAUAAAUGUCUUAAAGUAUUAUUUCAUGGUUUAUAUAACAUGGAAUUUAAUAAUUCAAAUAGGACUAUGACAAAGUAUAUUAAUGAUGUGUACUUGAUAGCUAAAUAAAGCAAAAAUUCAAGGUC